rnacentral:misc_RNA from 1 species
UCUCCGUAGGUGAACCUGCGGAGGGAUCAUUACAGAGUUCAUGCCCUACCGGGUAGAUCUCCCACCCUAUGUUAUUAUUACUUUGUUGCUUUGGCGGGCCGUUAGGCUCCGGCCCGACUACCGGCCCCGGCUGGUAAGCGCCCGCCAGAGGACCCAAAACCCUGAAUAUUAGUGUCGUCUGAGUGCUAUAUAAUAGUUAAAACUUUCAACAACGGAUCUCUUGGCUCUG